rnacentral:rRNA from 1 species
UACGGAGGGUGCAAGCGUUAUCCGGAUUCACUGGGUUUAAAGGGUGCGUAGGUGGGAAUGUAAGUCAGUGGUGAAAUCUCUGAGCUUAACUCAGAAACUGCCAUUGAUACUAUGUUUCUUGAAUUUUCCGGAGGUCAGCGGAAUAUGUCAUGUAGCGGUGAAAUGCUUAGAUAUGACAUAGAACACCAAUUGCGAAGGCAGCUGGCUACAGGGAUAUUGACACUGAGGCACGAAAGCGUGGGGAUCAAACAGG